CAGCAUCACUGAUGUCUCCAAUACUCUCUCUCACCAGUAGUCUGAGGGUGGGCAAAGUCCUGAGAGGGGACAGCUGACCCCAGCUGACCAAAGGGGAAAUUCCAUACAAUAUGCUGUCUGCUCAGCAAUAAAGUAAACAGAAAGGAGGAGAAAAGACUACAAAGCCCUUUGCACAGACCAAGGAAGAUCUCCAGAGCCCAGCACUGACUAAUUCUUAAGGAGGCAGAUUCAAUCUUCUUCCCCUGAACUUCACGUCUUUGGAGUGAAACUGCUAGUGUUAUUUAAGUUCAGUUGUUUCCUCUGCUUGACUAAACUACUAAUAUCUUGUUAAAUUACUUAGAUAAAGGCAGAAAGUGCAUUUCACAAUGAAGACCUGAGAGGAUAUUGACUUGACUUCAAUUUUCCAUUACAAGCUAACUUUUAAGUCCCCAGUCCCUGCAGAAUAUUCAAGAGCCAGGAGUCAGCUCUGUGCAAGCGAACUGUAGGUUUGAACAAGAAGCAGCUUAGCAAGUUUCUGGCAGUGCUUCUCAUGGAACUGCCAAACUCAUUUGCAAGAAAAUUAAAAAGGCCAAAAUACUGAGCUCACCUGGGAAGAAUAUGAAUGAGCGUCUUGAACUUGUGGCUGGAAGAGACUUCUUCAAUACUAAUGAGGAUAGGCAGGGAGGAAGCAGAGACUUCUGUUUUCCAGUAAAUCUCAAGUUCAUAAAGAACUGAUAGGAUGAUAAGACCAUGAAAGUCAUCAACAAAAUCUUGGAGUAUACUGAGUAAUGAAGGUAUGUCCAGUGGUGAUUUACAGCUAUUAAUUGCACUGUGACAUACAGUAGAGAAACUUCUUCUAGAGUAUCGUUUACAAUACUUACGGCCUGCGUUCCAAAUGCUGAAUUCUGAUUGAAGCAGAUGCUGAGUGAAUACUAUAUGCAAUAUGGAGUUCAUCUUGUGAUCAAAGAGCUAGAGAAUGGACUUGUAAAAAUUGACAAAACUAAAAGAGACCCUGAGACUUGAAAAUACACUAGAAGACAGGGACUGAAAAGAUGGAGAAUGGAGAGUAACCUCACGCAAAGAUGAAAUGUACAGAGAGUUUUCUUAGAAAUUCAGCAGAAAAUGAAAUUUGAAUUAAUUUUCUGUAGAAAUUUAAAGAAAAUAUCUCAAUGGCAAAGAAAAAUUUAGGAGGCAUGUCCCAAUUGCAGUUCUGGGAGAAAAAAAAAUCUUGUUUUGAGAUGGAUCUUGAUACAUUUAUUGCUAUAUGAUACAACUGUGGGAAAGCAUCAGAGUGGAUGAAGUGGCUCAGGAUGUUCCUGCAGCUGAAAAUUCUCAAGCAAUAAAAAGACUCAUUACUUUUAACAUAUA